rnacentral:rRNA from 1 species
AUUGAACGCUGGCGGCAGGCCUAACACAUGCAAGUCGAACGAGUGGCGGACGGGUGCGUAAUGUUUGGGGAUCUGGCUGAUGGAGGGGGAUAACUACGGGAAACUGUAGCUAAUACCGCAUACCAUAGGAUGAUCCCAAGUGGGUUUAGGUAGUUGGUGGGGUAAAGGCUCACCUAGGCGACGAUCUCUAGCUGGUCUGAGAGGAUGACCAGCCAAACUGGUACUGGAACACGGCCCAGACUCCUACGGGAGGCAGCAGUGGGGAAGAUUGCGCAAUGGGGGCAACCCAGAUGCAGCCAGGCCGCUUGAAUGAAGAAGGCCUUCGGGUUGUAAAGUUCUUUCGGUAGGGAGGCGUUACCUACAGAAGAAGCACCGGCUAACUCCGUGCCAGCAGCCGCGGUAAUAC